AGAACGAUUAACUCGGAACUGUGGUAAUACAGAACGCCUAGCCCAUAUUCGUCAACAGAGAGAAGAAGCUACUAAAAAACGAGAGGAAGAAAAAGCUGCGAGGGAGCAGAAGAAGCUCGAAGCUCGAAAAUGACAUUCCUUAUUGCAAAGCUUCAUAUACAGCAAGUGUUUCUUCCAGUAGAUGAUUAUAUGGGUGCUUUCUACAAUUUAGCUACAGUUGGUUUAUAUU